CAACCAAAAACUUUAACGAUGUGGGACGAACUAAUUGAGACCGUUGGAAAAACAAUAUGUGAAAUUCUUCCACAAAAUCCUAUUAUAAUAGGAACACGUCUAAAAGUUGUUUCACACAAUGGUAUAUCUUUAUCAUCCAAGCAACAAAGUUCAUUUAUCAUCAACCUUACGAACAUUCCACAAAUAAAUGAGCUUCGUCAAUGGUAAACUAAUUUAUACUUAUCUUUUAUAAAUUAUUUCUUAUUACACCUAUCCAUAAAUAAUUCUUACAUAUCUAAUUAUUUUGUCCUAUAAGUUAAUAGGAGCAUUAACAAUAAAGAAUACCUAUCUGCCAAUAUCAAUGAGAAGAGACUCUUCCAAACCCAAACUGCUCUAAGAACUCUUCAAUAUAAUAAUAUCAUUACUAUUAAUGAUAUUCAAAAUCUUCCACAAGAGGUAUGUAAAAAUAUGUUUAUUUAAGUUUUAAUUAACUGAUUAGUUUCUUUUCUCAAUGUUUAUAAUUAUUUUUUGUUCUACAUAAUAUUAUAUACUUAAUUUCAAUAACCAUAUCAUGCUUCAUUAGCAAACUACUUUUUGGAUCAAUGCAUCAAUCUCCAUCAAAAAUUUAAGACAACCCUUCUGGUACAUGGCUUGCACAAAAUACCGUCAAAAAGCAGAUCUUGACAAUGAAACAUCAUGUUUUAAAUGCUACGGAUACAAGAAAUCAUCUGUUGAGAAAAUUCCAAGGUUUAUAUGAACUUAAUUUAACACAAAUCUUAUUAUCAUAAUUUGCUACUUAAAUAAAUUAUUUUGCAUCUGAAUAUAUUAGAUGUCGCUUUCACGCUCAACUAACAGACCACGCAGGCUCACUAAUAGUGACAUUCUUCGGCGAAAAUGCAGAAAAGUUUUUAAAUUAUGCCGCAGAAGAGCUUAUUCACAUGCUAAAUGUAAAUUCUACUACUUAAACUCGUUCACUUCAUUAACAUACAUUAAUAAUACUAUCUUCCUCAAUGAUGCUUUUAAUAACAGGAUCAAAAUAUUGUUGGGUUUUAUGCCCUAAAUAAAACUCAUUUCAAUAUAAUCAGAUUUACUUAUUAAUAUAGAUCAGAAAUAACAUUUAAUGUUGCAUGGUUCACAUGAUUUAUUUCAUGAUUAUUUACAUAAUGUAUGAAUUCUAUUUAAGUCCAGAACAUAUCAAUUUGUUAAUGAUUAUAGUGUUGUCAACACAGUGGAAUAUAACCUUAAUUAUAUGUUCGAAAGUUUAUUCCCUGAUUUGUCAGUUUACUGGAUUUAGACUGACAUCAUUAUCAGCAAUAGGCAUUCUUACACCUUGGAUAAGUGUUAUAUCCUUUCCAGGACAUUGGCAAAUUUUACCAGCAUCAGAUGUAUGGAGUAUACAUCGGAAGGGACCGAUAUUGAACUUUGAUUAGAUAUAUUAGAAUUUACCGUAAUAUCUAUUCAAUUCAAUAUCACCUGUUGAUCCUAGAUCAAAUGAUCUUAAUCCUGAUAUGAUUAGGUUCAAUCUCGAGAGUGUUAUUCGUGUUCUUUGAUUUGUUAGUUAAGCCUACUUUUGGGUCAGGGUGAUACGUACAUUUUGGGAACACGGUAGUGCAAUUGAGUGGGAGUGCUAACAUAAAUAUGGAAUCUAUAGCUUCUAUCUGGCGAAUAGAAAGUAAAGGAUGAUUUCUUUUGAGCUUAACCAAACGAAAAUAAAUGGUGGAGAUCUCAUUUCACUUAGCUGAAAUAUCAUUUAUACAAGGUUAAGUGUUUUAAGGAUAAAAUACAUUGUAGGGUGUUGCGGUAAUUUAAUCUCUUUACAGUGUAAAUCAUCUAUAUAGAGGAUCAUUGAUCACAUUAGGGUUAUAACAAUAGAUAACUAAUGACGUGUCUAUAUCGUGGAACAUAUAGAGCGUUCUAUAUACUGAGAGUGCAAUUCUAAGUUCUAUGCGUGGAUUCAACGAAGAAUUAAUAAGUCAGUGAAUUUAAGAUAUAAAUUCUUGAUCUACUUAUUGGAAGCUCGGAUAUAUAGACCCAUGGUCCCCAUACUAGUUGAGACCAUACUGCUUGUAAGACUCAGUUAAUUGAUUUUGAUUAAUCAAUUAUAAUUCUAAAGUUAGACUAUGUCUAGUUUAUGAAUUUUCACUAAGCAAGGGCGAAAUUGUAAAGAAAAGAGAAUUCUAGGUUUAUUUAUUAAUUAAGAGACUUUAUAUGUCUAAUUAAUAAAUGUUAAAUGACAAUAUUAUUUAAUAAUUAAUUUUUUGUUAUUAAAUAAUUAGAAUUGGUAUUUAAAUGGUUGAAUUUUGGAAAAUUAGCGUUUUUGAGAAAAAGAGAUGCAAGAAUGAUAAAACAGCAAAAUUGCAUAAGUGAGGCCCAUUAUCCAAAGCCCAUGGCCGGCCACACUUAUAGGGUUUUAUCAUUUAUUUUUUCAUUAUUUUAAUGCCAAAUAAUUCUAACCUAAACCUAGGUGGUUACCUAUAAAUAGAUAGUGAUGGCUCUCAUUCACACUUGAAAUUCUGUCAGAUGAAAUCUGAGCCUCUAUCUUUUCUCUGUAAGCCGAACCUCUUCCUUUCUCUUUUCUUCUCUAAAUUUUCGAAAUCCUUGAGUGAAUGAGUGAGUGCCCACACACAUCAAGUGGUAUCUCAAUCAUAGUGUGUAAGACUGUAGAAAACCAUCCAACAAGAAGGAGAAUCAGCAUCAAAGGAAGGAGAGAAAGAGAUCCAGGUUCAGAUAUUGAUAAUGCUCUGCUAUAGAAAGGAAUCAAGGGCUAGAUAUCUAAACGGAAGGAGUCAUUAUAUUCCGCUGCACCCAAUAUUUUUGGUGACCUUUGCUCGGUGUUUGGCAAACAUUACUCCUCGUUAUAUUAGAAGCAAUAUGGUGAGUGACAGAAGCUGGAUGACUUCAAACAGACGAUCUGUAGAGUUUCGUAGGGGUGUGGAUGAGUUUGUUGGAGUUGCUCGAAUGCAAAUAAAUUCUGCUAGAGUUACACGAUGCACUUGCAUGAGAUGUCUAAAUGUGAACUUUGAAACUCCCGAUAAUAUUAGGGUACAUUUGUUUGUGCAUGGCAUCCAACAAUUGUACACGACCUGGUAUUUUCAUGGGGAGUCGUUCACGCAACCGACUAUAGAAAUAUUAGACAACGAAGAAGAAGAAAUAGCAGAUGUCAUGGCUGAUAUUUUAGAGAAGAUUCUAGUUUUAACGAUCCAAAUUCUACCACUGCUUCCUUUAAUGAGCCCCCUAUGAAUGGUGGUGGCAAGAGCUGAGUAAAAUGCGAAAAAUUGAGGUAACAUGAAGGUUCAAGGUGAAUGGGGAUCUAAGACCAUAAUUUCUACCAUUGUCAGCGGGGCUGAUCCCCAGACGGGGGAGCUUCCCAGUGUUGUGGAUACAUUUGCAAAGUUCCACUGCAAGAACAAUAAAUGGCGCGACGAGCACACACAACAACUGCAUGCCAAAAUGGUUGAGAUUCGUGACACUCAACCAACGCCAGCCGAUGCCCCCGCCAGUACAAUGUCGACCCCACCCAAUUUCGUGCAGAUACGCAUAUUAUGACACAGGCACUGGGUGAGCAGUCAAACCACUUAAGAGGACUGGGCCCGUUGCCAAGACUUAAGACGGGGGCAAAAAGAUCAACUCCUAAGCCAGGUGCAUCUAGGCAGCCCAGUGUCACUCAAAAGGAAUAUGAGGUACUGAAGCGAAGGGUGGAAGAACAAGAGGCACGGAACGAGUGGCAACAACAGAUGAUGAUGACUCAGAAUCAGAUCAUGAGUGCGUUCCAACAACAAAUGAUCCAAUUGGCCAACGCUGUUUAAGGAUUUAACAUGCCGGAUCUGCCUCCGAUUCCACCAUUUCAGCCUUCUGGCCAUGCAGCUGGUUCCUCCUCAUAGACUGCCCCUCCCGGUGAUGACGACGAUGAUGCUGUUGAUUUGUAGGUCUUUUUUAGUUUACAGUGUAGAUAAUAUUACUGUUUAUGAAUUCAUAAUACUUUUACUUAGUUUAUGACGUUUAAUAUAGUUUUGUAAUAACAUUAGAAAUGUUGGUUUUAUAAUAUAUUUGAUAUUAUAUUUAGUAUUA